GCUCAGCCAGGCGGCGACUUCGGCGGCGCCACGAGAGCGGGCAGCGGAGGAGAUUGACGUGAGUGAAUUCAGAUAUAACUCAAGCUUGUUAGAGGGCUUUUUAAAAAUAAAAAGUUGAUUCCGUGCAAGAGAGCAAGUUACUGCUGCUUACCGUUCAGAGACUUACAGGUGCUUGCCUGCAUUGCAAUAAAGGACUCAUUUAUUGAGCAAGACUUAUAUUUAUCUCUUCAUUUUGGAGAGCCUAAUAAACUGUUAUUACAGUUUCUCUACUGACUUUCAAAAGUUUUGAAGUUUGAAAGACCUUUGCAAUUAAAACAGCAUGAGCACGGCCAGAACAGAGAACCCUGUUAUAAUGGGUCUGUCCAGUCAAAAUGGUCAGCUGAGAGGCCCUGUGAAACCCACUGGUGGCCCUGGAGGAGGGGGCACACAGACACAGCAACAGAUGAACCAGCUGAAAAACACCAACACAAUCAAUAAUGGCACUCAGCAGCAAGCACAGAGUAUGACCACCACUAUUAAGUAAGUGUUAGAGUAAAUUAUUAAUAAACACUUGUGGGGAACCAAGAUUUGUGUUACUUUGGUGUUGACUAUUAAUACUUAUGCCUUAAUUUAACCAUUUUGAUUCCAAAUAGAGGACAGAUGACUUUGUUUUAUGGCCAGUAGGUAUUUGCAAUAGAAUAAUAUAUUUCUGCCAUAAUUUGUUCAGCAAGUAGUCAUCCUGAGGUCAGAUGAUACACA
rnacentral:lncRNA from 1 species